rnacentral:rRNA from 1 species
AUGGCUCAGAUUGAACGCUGGCGGCAGGCCUAACACAUGCAAGUCGAACGGUAGCACAGAGAGCUUGCUCUCGGGUGACGAGUGGCGGACGGGUGAGUAAUGUCUGGGAAACUGCCCGAUGGAGGGGGAUAACUACU